rnacentral:rRNA from 1 species
GACGAACGCUGGCGGCGUGCUUAACACAUGCAAGUCGAGCGGAAAGGCCCUUCGGGGUACUCGAGCGGCGAACGGGUGAGUAACACGUGAGUAACCUGCCCUAGGCUUUGGGAUAACCCCGGGAAACCGGGGCUAAUACCGGAUAUGACCUGGUGCCGCAUGGUGUUGGGUGGAAAGUUUUUUCGGCCUGGGAUGGGCUCGCGGCCUAUCAGCUUGUUGGUGGGGUGAUGGCCUACCAAGGCGAUGACGGGUAGCCGGCCUGAGAGGGCGACCGGCCACACUGGGAUUGAGACACGGCCCAGACUCCUACGGGAGGCAGCAGUGGGGAAUAUUGCACAAUGGGCGGAAGCCUGAUGCAGCGACGCCGUGUGAGGGAUGAAGGCCUUCGGGUUGUAAACCUCUUUCAGCAGGGACGAAGCGUGAGUGACGGUACCUGCAGAAGAAGCGCCGGCCAACUACGUG